rnacentral:rRNA from 1 species
AUUGAACGCUGGCGGCGUGCCUAACACAUGCAAGUCGAACGCGAAAGUUUCUUCGGAAAUGAGUAGAGUGGCGCACGGGUGAGUAACGCGUGGAUUAUCUACCUAUUGGUACGGGACAACAGUUGGAAACGACUGCUAAUACCGUAUAAGCUGGUAACGGGAAAGGGGGCCUCUUCUUGAAAGCUCUCGCCAGUAGAUGAGUCCGCGUUUCAUUAGCUAGACGGUGGGGUAACGGCCUACCGUGGCAACGAUGAAUAGCAGGCCUGAGAGGGUGGCCUGCCACACUGGGACUGGAACACGGCCCAGACUCCUACGGGAGGCAGCAGUGGGGAAUAUUGCGCAAUGGACGAAAGUCUGACGCAGCGACGCCGCGUGGAGGAUGAAGGUUUUCGGAUCGUAAACUCCUGUCAAGAGGGAAGAAACCUGUUUGAAAACUAAUACUUUCAGCAAUUGACGGUACCUCUAGAGAAGCACCGGCUAAUUCAGUGCCAGCGCCGCGGU